AGAGUCCUGAAAUGUACGUUGUAAUACCUGAUAUUUUGACCGAACAUUAUUUUAAUUUCUUCGGGAGCCCGGAGUUUUUCAAUUGCGUAAAUGCCUCUUUAAAGAGGACUUACAGAAAGUUGAAAAUAGGACACCCACCUGCUGAAUGCGGGAUCAAAAUGAAGGAAUCAAAAACGACGGCAUGAUUGGGACUUUU
rnacentral:other from 1 species